rnacentral:rRNA from 1 species
AUGCAAGUCGAACGGAGAGCAUAUGAAGUAUUCGGUACGGAAUGCGUCUAGUGGCGAACGGGUGAGUAACACGUGGGCAACCUGCCCCAGACUGGGGGAUAACAUUGUGAAAACAGUGCUAAUACCGCAUGACAGGGUUCCGGGCAUCCGGGACUCUUGAAAAGGAGAAAUCCGGGUCAGGGAUGGGCCCCGCGUCCAAUUAGCUAGUUGGUGGGGUAACGGCCCACCAAGGCGACGAUUGGUAGCCGAACUGAGAGGUUGAUCGGCCACAUUGGGACUGAGACACGGCCCAGACUCCUACGGGAGGCAGCAGUGGGGAAUAUUGGGCAAUGGGGCCGAAAGCCUGACCCAGCGACGCCGCGUGAAGGAUGAAGGUCUUCGGAUUGUAAACUUCUUUGACCAGGGAAGAAAGAAAUGACGGUACCUGAAAAACAAGCCACGGCUAACUACGUGCCAGCCGCGGC